UACGGGGGGGGCAAGCGUUGUUCGGAAUUACUGGGCGUAAAGGGCUCGUAGGCGGCCAACUAAGUCAGACGUGAAAUCCCUCGGCUUAACCGGGGAACUGCGUCUGAUACUGGAUGGCUUGAGGUUGGGAGAGGGAUGCGGAAUUCCUGGUGUAGCGGUGAAAUGCGCAGAUAUCAGGAGGAACACCCGUGGCGAAAGCGGCUCUCUGGGACGGUA
rnacentral:rRNA from 1 species